rnacentral:rRNA from 1 species
UACGUAGGGUGCAGGCGUUAAUCGGAAUUACUGGGCGUAAAGCGUGCGCAGGCGGUUUCUUAAGUCAGAUGUGAAAGCCCCGGGCUUAACCUGGGAACUGCGUUUGAAACUGGGAGACUUGAGUGUGGCAGAGGGGGGUGGAAUUCCACGUGUAGCAGUGAAAUGCGUAGAUAUCAGGAGGAACCCCGGUGGCGAAGGCGGAUCUCUGGGCCAUUACUGACGCUGAGGAGCGAAAGCGUGGGGAGCGAACAGG